GCGUUGUCCGGAGUUACUGGGCGUAAAGCGCGCGCAGGCGGUCCAGGCGGCCCCCCGUGAAAGCCCCCGGCUCAACCGGGGCGGGUCGGGGGGGACUGCUGGACUGGAGGGCGGUCGAGGUCGGUGGAAUUCCCGGUGUAGUGGUGAAAUGCGUAGAGCUCGGGAGGAACACCAGUGGCGAAGGCGGCCGACUAGGCCGGCCCUGACGCUGAGGCGCGAAGGCCAG
rnacentral:rRNA from 1 species